AUACGGGGGGUGCAAGCGUUAUUCGGAUUUAUUGGGCGUAAAGAGCGCGUAGGCGGCUUGGUAAGUCAGAUGUGAAAGCCCGGGGCUCAACCCCGGAAGUGCAUGUGAAACUAUCAGGCUUGAGUAUGGGAGAGGGAAGUGGAAUUCCUGGUGUAGAGGUGAAAUACGUAGAUAUCAGGAGGAACACCGGUGGCGAAGGCGACUUCCUGGACCAAUACUGACGCUGAGGCGCGAAGGCGUGGGGAGCAAACAGGAUUAGAUACCCCAGUAGUCC
rnacentral:rRNA from 1 species